AUACGGAGGGUGCAAGCGUUAUCCGGAAUCAUUGGGUUUAAAGGGUCCGUAGGCGGGCAAAUAAGUCAGAGGUGAAAUCCCACAGCUCAACUGUGGAACUGCCUUUGAUACUGUUUGUCUAGAGUUAUAGUGAAGUAGAUAGAAUAUGUAGUGUAGCGGUGAAAUGCAUAGAUAUUACAUAGAAUACCGAUUGCGAAGGCAGUCUACUAACUAUUGACUGACGCUAAUGGACGAAAGCGUGGGGAGCGAACAGGAUUAGAAACCCCAGUAGUCC
rnacentral:rRNA from 1 species